rnacentral:rRNA from 1 species
UACGUACUGUGCGAACGUUAUUCGGAAUUACUGGGCUUACAGGGUGUGUAGGCGGCUGAAUGAGUAGGGUGUGAAAGGCCUCGGCCCAACCGAGGCAUUGCGCUCUAAACUGUUCGGCUUGAGUGAGAUAGGGGUGUGCGGAACUUCCAGUGGAGCGGUGAAAUGUGUUGAUAUUGGAAGGAACGCCGGUGGCGAAAGCGGCACACUGGGUCUCAACUGACCCUGAGACACGAAAGCCAGGGGAGCGAACGGG